GAUGAACGCUAGCUACAGGCUUAACACAUGCAAGUCGAGGGGCAGCAUGACGGAAGCUUGCUUCCGUUGAUGGCGACCGGCGCACGGGUGAGUAACGCGUAUCCAACCUGCCCUUGUCCAUCGGAUAACCCGUCGAAAGGCGGACUAACACGAUAUGCAGUUCUCAGCAGGCAUCUAACGAGAACGAAAUGUGAAGGAGAAGGAUGGGGAUGCGUCUGAUUAGCUUGUUGGCGGGGUAACGGCCCACCAAGGCGACGAUCAGUAGGGGUUCUGAGAGGAAGGGCCCCCACGUUGGAACGGAGACACGGUCCAAACUCCUACGGGAGGCAGCAGUGAGGAAUAUUGGUCAAUGGGCGAGAGCCUGAACCAGCCAAGUAGCGUGCAGGAUGACGGCCCUAUGGGUUGUAAACUGCUUUUAUACGGGGAUAAAGUGGGCCACGUGUGGCUUAUUGCAGGUACCGUAUGAAUAAGGACCGGCUAAUUCCGUGCCAGCAGCCGCCGUAA
rnacentral:rRNA from 1 species